GACGAACGCUGGCGGCGUGCUUAACACAUGCAAGUCGAACGGUGAACCAGGGCUUGCCCUGGGGAUCGGUGGCGAACGGGUGAGUAACACGUGGGCAACCUGCCCCUGACUCUGGGAUAACUUCGGGAAACCGAAGCUAAUACCGGAUACGACCUCUGACGGCGUCGUCGGAGGUGGAAAGUUUUUCGGUCAGGGAUGGGCCCGCGGCCUAUCAGCUUGUUGGUGGGGUAAUGGCCCACCAAGGCGACGACGGGUAGCCGGCCUGAGAGGGCGACCGGCCACACUGGGACUGAGACACGGCCCAGACUCCUACGGGAGGCAGCAGUGGGGAAUAUUGCGCAAUGGGCGAAAGCCUGACGCAGCGACGCCGCGUGAGGGAUGAAGGCCUUCGGGUUGUAAACCUCUUUCAGCAGGGACGAAGCGAAAGUGACUGUACCUGCAGAAGAAGCACCGGCUAACUACGUGCCAGCAGCCGCCGCAG
rnacentral:rRNA from 1 species